rnacentral:lncRNA from 1 species
AUGGAGAAAGCUGUCUCUUCUUCUUCAUCAGAGCAGCAAAGAGCGCAUCGGUGUGAUGGAGGCAAAACCGUGUUAAUGACACUGGAGCCAAACAAAGAAGAUUUUUCUGCCCUUGGGUGCCCCCAAGGUGAACAGAGAAUAGCUGCUUUUGUUAAAGAUGCAAAAAUGCCUCUGGAGAGUGCAGCUUUAUCGGGGACAUCAGUGGAAGGGGGGACUGAUCUCAAGGAGGCUGCCUUCUAUGCUUCCGACAACGUGGCAGCAAUGAACAGAGAUGGGAGAGGGAAUUCGGGUGCUGAUGACAUGUGCAGCCGUAAGAAGGAUCCCACUUUUUUCUUGCCUCUAGCCCGCCAGGAGCCAGACGUUGGUUUGGAAGCACACAACGUGGCAGGAGACAGCUCCUAAAAAUAGGAGCCAUGCUGGAGCUACCAAGAACAAAGGAACUCUUGGGAACCACCUCUGUCAUUGUCCUUCUCUCCAUAUCUGCGCUCUCUGCCGCGCCACACCUAGCUACGUGCCCGUCUGCCAGAUGCCAUCUAUUCUCCGUAUGUUUUGGAAGUCUUU